rnacentral:rRNA from 1 species
GUGCCAGCAGCCGCGGUAAAACGUAGAGCGAGCGUAUCCGGAUUUACUGGGCGUAAAGCGUGUGUAGCGGUGAUAAGUGGAUGUGAAGCUCCUGGCUUAACUGGAGAGGUCGUCCAAAACUAUCAGACUUGAGAGUGGUAGAGGGAGGUGGAAUUCCGCGUGUAGUGGUGAAAUGCGUAGAUAUGCGGAGGAACACCAGUGGCGAAAGCGGCCUCCUGGCCCAUUUCUGACGCUCAGACACGAAAGCUAAGGUAGCAAACGGGAUUAGAGACCCCGGUAGUCUUAGCUGUAAACGAUGUGAACUUAGUGUCGGUGGGGUUAAAUCCAUCGGUACUGAAGCUAACGCGAUAAGUUCACCGCCUGAGGACUACGGCCGCAAGGUUAAAACUCAAAGGAAUUGACGGGGCCCCGCACAAGCAGCGGAGCGUGUGGUUUAAUUCGAUGUUACACGAAGAACCUUACCAGGGUUUGACAUGCAAGUGGUAGGAAGCCGAAAGGUGACCGACCCUUCGGGGAGCUUGCACAGGUGCUGCAUGGCUGUCGUCAGCUCGUGUCGUGAGAUGUUCGGUUAAGUCCGCUAACGAGCGCAACCCUCACUGUGUGUUAUAUGUGUCACACGGGACUGCCGGUCUUAAGCCGGAGGAAGAUGGGGAUGACGUCAAGUCAGCAUGGCCUUUAUGUCCUGGGCUACACACACGGCUACAAUG